AUUGAACGCUGGCGGCAGGCCUAACACAUGCAAGUCGAGCGGUAGAGAGGUGCUUGCAUCUCUUGAGAGCGGCGGACGGGUGAGUAAUGCCUAGGAAUCUGCCUAGUGGUGGGGGAUAAACGUUCGGAAACGGACGCUAAUACCGCAUACGUCCUACGGGAGAAAGCGGGGGAUCUUCGGACCUCGCGCCAUUAGAUGAGCCUAGGUCGGAUUAGCUAGUUGGUGAGGUAAUGGCUCACCAAGGCGACGAUCCGUAACUGGUCUGAGAGGAUGAUCAGUCACACUGGAACUGAGACA
rnacentral:rRNA from 1 species